rnacentral:rRNA from 1 species
GAUGAACGCUGGCGGCGUGCCUAAUACAUGCAAGUCGAGCGAACAGACGAGGAGCUUGCUCCUCUGACGUUAGCGGCGGACGGGUGAGUAAUACGUGGAUAACCUACAUAUAAGACUGGGAUAACUUCGGGAAACCGGAGCUAAUAACGGACAAUCUAUUGAACCGCAUGGUUCAAUAGUGAAAGACGGUUUUGCUGUCACUUAUUGAUGGAUCCGCGCCGCAUUAGCUAGUUGGUAAGGUAACGGCUUACCAAGGCGACGAUGCGUAGCCGACAUGGGAGGGUGAUCGGCCACACUGGAACUGAGACACGGUCCAGACUCCUACGGGAGGCAGCAGUAGGGAAUCUUCCGCAAUGGGCGAAAGCCUGACGGAGCAACACCGCGUGAGUGAUGAAGGUCUUCGGAUCGUAAAACUCUGUUAUUAGGGAAGAACAAAUGUGUAAGUAACUAUGCACGUCUUGACGGUACCUAAUCAGAAAGCCACGGCUAACUACGUG